rnacentral:rRNA from 1 species
GACGAACGCUGGCGGCGUGCUUAACACAUGCAAGUCGAACGGAAAGGCCCUGCUUUUGUGGGUUGCUCGAGUGGCGAACGGGUGAGUAACACGUGAGUAACCUGCCCCUGACUUUGGGAUAACUUCAGGAAACUGGGGCUAAUACCGGAUAGGAGCUCCUGCUGCAUGGUGGGGGUUGGAAAGUUUCGGCGGUUGGGGAUGGACUCGCGGCUUAUCAGCUUGUUGGUGGGGUAGUGGCUGACCAAGGCUUUGACGGGUAGCCGGCCUGGGAGGGGGACCGGCCACAUGGGGACUAAGGUAGGGACCAGACUCCAACGGGAGGCAGCAGUGGGAAAUAUUGCACAAUGGGCGGAAGCCUGAUGCAGAAACGCCGCGUGCGGGAUGACGGCCUUCGGGUUGUAAACCGCUUUCGCAGGUGACGAAGCGUGAGUGACGGUAAUGGGUAAAGAAGCACCGGCUAACUACGUG